GGACAGGUGGCUGAGCGGUUAAAGGCACUCGACUCGAAAUCGAGAGACGGUAACACGUCCGUGGGUUCGAAUCCCACCCUGUCCG
rnacentral:tRNA from 1 species